GAUGAAGAACGCAGCGAAAUGCGAUAAGUAAUGUGAAUUGCAGAAUUCAGUGAAUCAUCGAAUCUUUGAACGCACAUUGCGCCCGCCAGCAUUCUGGCGGGCAUGCCUGUUCGAGCGUCAUUUCAACCCUCGAGCCCCCCCGGGGGCCUCGGUGUUGGGGGACGGCACACCAGCCGCCCCCGAAAUGCAGUGGCGACCCCGCCGCAGCCUCCCCUGCGUAGUAGCACACACCUCGCACCGGAGCGCGGAGGCGGUCACGCCAUAAAACGCCCAACUUUCUUAGAGUUGACCUCGGAUCAGGUAGGAAUACCCGCUGAACUUAAGCAUAUCAAUAAGCGGAGGA
rnacentral:misc_RNA from 1 species